GGAUUCUCACUCCCUUUAAUGCUUUGGGUGGGAAUGAUGAUGGAUCUGUUCGUGAUUCUUCAGAACGGACCGUCUCCGAGGUUGCCUCCACCCCCAUUUAU